GUGCUGUGAUGAUUUUGCCAACACAUCAUUCUGAUGUCAAUGGAGAUAACUUAAUUGCUGAGCACA